rnacentral:lncRNA from 1 species
CAUUUGUAAGUCGGCCGGCGUGUAACAGCUGUUUAAGCCUGUUCCUGCUGUCCCAUCAUGUGCUGCUCCCUCCUGUUCCAGAUUACCCCAGUGUGCAACUUUGCCAGAAGUAACAUCAGUGGACGCUGCCUCAAACUCAUGCAUUGCUCCAUUAGGGCCGCAGAAUAAGACAAUGACGAGGAGAGGUGCAAAAGCAAAAUGAUGCAGAAGGCUGCGUCUUCCUGCUUGCUUUCUGACCGUGUUUGUUUGGGCACACUGUGAAAACUGGCAUUUUCUCAGGAUUGCCAGAACGUCCAGCCAUUAAUCCACGGAGUUAUCUCAGGCUGAAGCUGUGAGCUCCUUCCUGAAUGUGGCCGGUCCGGUCUUUGUAGACCUCCUGCCGCUUCGGUUCAGACGUCUUUAAGGACGCUUUACCAGCUGAUGCACAGACAGGCGAACCAGGGGAAACGGUCACCAGUUUCCCUCGGAUGGGUCCACCUCUGUGUUCUACAGAAACCUGAGCAGAAAGAUGGGAUGAGAGAGCUCCCUGUCUGCCGGUUUAAUGCCGCUGGAAAUCUCACUUCCACACACAUCCAGUUCUUCCUCUGUGCUUUAUUGCUUCAUAUUUGUAGGCUUAACAGUGCAGUUCACCAAGCAUAUCAUUUUAUACACAGUUCUGUGCAAAAGCCAGUGUCCAUGUGAGUGACACCACUUCCCCUGAUGACCUUUCAGACUAUUGGCUCAAGUCUAUUGACUCAAGUCUAUUGGCAAAAUGAACCUUUCCACUGACAGCGACUCAGCUUGCUUGUGAUGUUUUAAUAAAAGAAACUUCAAGGUUCCCGGUGGCA